rnacentral:rRNA from 1 species
UAACACAUGCAAGUCGAGCGCACCUUCGGGUGAGCGGCGGACGGGUUAGUAACGCGUGGGAACGUACCCUUUUCUACGGAAUAGCCUUUGGAAACGAAGAGUAAUACCGUAUACGCCCUUUGGGGGAAAGAUUUAUCGGAGAAGGAUCGGCCCGCGUUAGAUUAGAUAGUUGGUGGGGUAACGGCCUACCAAGUCUACGAUCUAUAGCUGGUUUUAGAGGAUGAUCAGCAACACUGGGACUGAGACACGGCCCAGACUCCUACGGGAGGCAGCAGUGGGGAAUCUUAGACAAUGGGCGCAAGCCUGAUCUAGCCAUGCCGCGUGAGUGAUGAAGGCCUUAGGGUCGUAAAGCUCUUUCGCCUGUGAUGAUAAUGACAGUAGCAGGUAAAGAAACCCCGGCUAACUCCGUGCCAGCAGCCGCGGUAAUACGGAGGGGGUUAGCGUUGUUCGGAAUUACUGGGCGUAAAGCGCACGUAGGCGGAUUGGAAAGUUGGGGGUGAAAUCCCGGGGCUCAACCCCGGAACUGCCUCCAAAACUAUCAGUCUAGAGUUCGAGAGAGGUGAGUGGAAUUCCAAGUGUAGAGGUGAAAUUCGUAGAUAUUUGGAGGAACACCAGUGG